rnacentral:rRNA from 1 species
CCUACGGGAGACAGCAGUAGGGAAUCUUCCACAAUGGGCGAAAGCCUGAUGGAGCAACGCCGCGUGGGUGAAGAAGGUCUUCGGAUCGUAAAACCCUGUUGUUAGAGAAGAAAGUGCGUGAGAGUAACUGUUCACGUUUCGACGGUAUCUAACCAGAAAGCCACGGCUAACUACGUGCCAGCAGCCGCGGUAAUACGUAGGUGGCAAGCGUUAUCCGGAAUUAUUGGGCGUAAAGGGAACGCAGGCGGUCUUUUAAGUCUGAUGUGAAAGCCUUCGGCUUAACCGGAGUAGUGCAUUGGAAACUGGGAGGCUUGAGUGCAGAAGAGGGGAGUGGAACUCCAUGUGUAGCGGUGAAAUGCGUAGAUAUAUGGAGGAACACCAGUGGCGAAGGCGGCUCUCUGGUCUGUAACUGACGCUGAGGUUCGAAAGCGUGGGUAGCAAACAGGAUUAGAUACCCUAGUAGUC